CCGGGCCGUCGGCUCUGGGCUGGGCGCUGAGGGCGGGUGGUGGCCUCUGAAAGCAGGGAUCGCCGUGCCCCUGAACGCCUGGCACGGCUGCCGCCACUCGAGUCAGUGGUCAGAACAAAAGGUGCGCUGGGGCAGUGGUGGCUACCGGCGAGUGUUUGGCCGGAGGGGUUUCCUCUGUCCUCCACCAGCUAGCUCUGCAAAGUGAAGUUGCUGACACAUGAAAACCCGCGGGACGCUGGCAGCGUUCUGCCUAAAGCUUUGAGCUGAGCGGUAUAAAACAGACAUCUCCGGAGCCUCCUGGAACUCGCAAGGUGUUUGCAGGCUCCAGACAACCGUCAGUUUGCAGGUUACUCGCUGGGCUGCACGAUCUACUAUGAAGGAAAAGGAAACAAGGAAAACCACCGAGCAUUUCAAGCCAACCAUGAGCCCUAAAUUGGCCAGGCACUGCCCUAAAGGAAGAAAUACUACUCAGAAACACCAAGAAGAAUCUUAGCAGAUAAGGGUAAGAUGACUUCCUCGUCUAGUUUUUUGGCAUUUUUAGCAAACCUAAGA
rnacentral:lncRNA from 1 species